UACGAAGGGUGCAAGCGUUACUCGGAAUUACUGGGCGUAAAGCGUGCGUAGGUGGUUCGUUAAGUCGGAUGUGAAAGCCCCGGGCUCAACCUGGGAAUUGCAUUUGAUACUGGCGGGCUAGAGUGCGGUAGAGGAGAGUGGAAUUCCCGGUGUAGCAGUGAAAUGCGUAGAGAUCGGGAGGAACAUCAGUUGCGAAGGCGGCUCUCUGGACCAGCACUGACACUGAGGCACGAAAGCGUGGGGAGCAAACAGGAUUAGAUACCCUAGUAGU
rnacentral:rRNA from 1 species